UUGGAGGGCAAGUCUGGUGCCAGCAGCCGCGGUAAUUCCAGCUCCAAUAGCGUAUAUUAAAGUUGUUGCAGUUAAAAAGCUCGUAGUUGAAUUUCGGGGUCAGUAGGUUGGUCAUGCCACAGGUAUGUACUGAUCUUACUGAUUCCUCCUUCCUGAUGAACCGUAAUGCCAUUAAUUUGGUGUUGCGGGGAAACUGGACUGUUACUUUGAAAAAAUUAGAGUGUUUAAAGCAGGCUAACGCUUGAAUACAUUAGCAUGGAAUAAUGAAAUAGGACGUUCGAUCCUAUUUUGUUGGUUUCUAGGAUUGACGUAAUGAUUAAUAGGGAUAGUUGGGGGCAUUAGUAUUCAAUUGUCAGAGGUGAAAUUCUUGGAUUUAUUGAAGACUAACUACUGCGAAAGCAUUUGCCAUGGAUGUUUUCAUUAAUCAAGAACGAAAGUUAGGGGAUCGAAGACGAUCAGAUACCGUCGUAGUCUUAACCAUAAACUAUGCCGACUAGGGAUCGGAUGAUGUUAAUUUUUUAAUGACUCAUUCGGCGCCUUACGGGAAAC
rnacentral:rRNA from 1 species